rnacentral:rRNA from 1 species
GACAAACGCUGGCGGGGUGCAUGAGACAUGCAAGUCGCACGGGGUUGGAUCGGGCUUGCUCGAUCAACCUAGUGGCGAACGGCUGAGUAACGCGUAGGUGACCUACCCGGAAGUGGGGAAGUAACUGCCCGAAAGGGUGGGCUAAUACCGCAUGUGGUCGGCGAAUCAGAUCGCCGUCCAAAGCCGAAAGGCGCUUCCGGAGGGGCCGUGCGUCCGAUUAGCUAGUUGGCGGGGUAACGGCGUCACCAAGGCGACGAUCGGUAGCUGGUCUGAGAGGAUGAUCAGCCAGACUGGGACGUGAGAA